rnacentral:snRNA from 1 species
UCGCCAAAGAAGCUAACUUU